rnacentral:rRNA from 1 species
UCCAGACUCCUACGGGAGGCAGCAGUGAGGAAUAUUGGUCAAUGGGCUUACGCCUGAACCAGCCAAGUCGCGUGAGGGAAGACUGCCCUAUGGGUUGUAAACCUCUUUUGUCAGGGAGCAACGCCGGCUACGUGUAGCCGGACUGAGAGUACCUGAAGAAAAAGCAUCGGCUAACUCCGUGCCAGCAGCCGCGGUAAUACGGAGGAUGCGAGCGUUAUCCGGAUUUAUUGGGUUUAAAGGGGGCGCAGGCGGCCUUUAAAGUCGGGGGUAAAGCCCGGGGGCUCACCCCCGGCGAGCCGUUGAAACUGGCGGGCUGGAGUUGGAGAGAAGUACGCGGAAUGCGCGGUGUAGCGGUGAAAUGCUUAGAUAUCGCGCAGAACCCCGAUUGCGAAGGCAGCGUACCGGCUCCACACUGACGCUGAGGCACGAAAGCGUGGGUAUCGAACAGGAUUAGAUACCCUGGUAG